rnacentral:rRNA from 1 species
GAUGAACGCUGGCGGCGUGCCUAAUACAUGCAAGUCGAGCGAACAGACGAGGAGCUUGCUCCUCUGACGUUAGCGGCGGACGGGUGAGUAACACGUGGAUAACCUACCUAUAAGACUGGGAUAACUUCGGGAAACCGGAGCUAAUACCGGAUAAUAUAUUGAACCGCAUGGUUCAAUAGUGAAAGACGGUUUUGCUGUCACUUAUAGAUGGAUCCGCGCCGCAUUAGCUAGUUGGUAAGGUAACGGCUUACCAAGGCAACGAUGCGUAGCCGACCUGAGAGGGGGAUCGGCCACACUGGAACUGAGACACGGUCCAGACUCCUACGGGAGGCAGCAGUAGGGAAUCUUCCGCAAUGGGCGAAAGCCUGAAGGAGCAACGCCGCGUGAGUGAUGAAGGUCUUCGGAUCGUAAAACUCUGUUAUUAGGGAAGAACAAAUGUGUAAGUAACUAUGCACGUCUUGACGGUACCUAAUCAGAAAGCCAAGGCUAACUACGUG